GACGAACGCUGGCGGCGUGCUUAACACAUGCAAGUCGAACGGAAAGGCCCUGCUUUUGUGGGGUGCUCGAGUGGCGAACGGGUGAGUAACACGUGAGUAACCUGCCCUUGACUUUGGGGUAACUUCAGGAAACUGGGGCUAAUACCGGAUAGGAUCUCCUGCUGCAUGGGGGGGGUUGGAAAGUUUCGGCGGUUGGGGAUGGACUCGCGGCUUAUCAGCUUGUUGGUGGGGUAGUGGCUUACCAAGGGUUUGACGGGUAGCCGGCCUGAGAGGGUGACCGGCGACCUUGGGACUGAGAUACGGACCAGACUGCUACGGGAGGCAGUAGGGGGGAGUAUUGCACAAUGGGCGGAAGUCUGAGGCAGAAACGCCGCGUGCGGGAAGACGGCCUUCGGGUUGUAAACCGCUUUAGCCUGUGACGAAGCGUGAGUGACGGUAAUGGGUAAAGAAGCACCGGCUAACUACGUG
rnacentral:rRNA from 1 species